rnacentral:RNase_P_RNA from 1 species
GUAGCAGGCCGGUCUGUCGCUGACCUUUCGAGGUGAGAGGAAAGUCCGGGCAACGCAGAGUGCCAUCCUUCCUAACGGGAAGCUGUUCGCGAGGGCAGAGUAGCGUAACAGAAAAGAACCGCCGUGUCUUUUGGCGCGGUAAGGGUGAAAAGGUGAGGUAAGAGCUUACCGCUCCCGUCGUAAUACGGGAGGUCAAUACGUCUGAUGGGUUGUAAGGUCAUGUACACCGGCGCAGUAGGGCGGCUCGUCCGAUGUCGGGGGGUAGACCGCUAUGAAUUUGCCGGUGACGGCAAGUCUGGAUGAAUGACAGACACUUCGCCGCGUGCGGAGGUACAGAACCCGGCUUACAGGUCGGCUACAUUC